AAUCCAUAGGUUAAUGAGGCGAACCGGGGGAACUGAAACAUCUAAGUACCCCGAGGAAAAGAAAUCAACCGAGAUUCCCCCAGUAGCGGCGAGCGAACGGGGAGGAGCCCAGAGCCUGAAUCAGCAUGUGUGUUAGUGGAAGCGUCUGGAAAGGCGCGCGAUACAGGGUGACAGCCCCGUACACAAAAGCGCAUGUGCUGUGAGCUCGAUGAGUAGGGCGGGACACGUGGUAUCCUGUCUGAAUAUGGGGGGACCAUCCUCCAAGGCUAAAUACUCCUGACUGACCGAUAGUGAACCAGUACCGUGAGGGAAAGGCGAAAAGAACCCCGGCGAGGGGAGUGAAAAAGAACCUGAAACCGUGUACGUACAAGCAGUGGGAGCACAGGUUUACCUGUGUGACUGCGUACCUUUUGUAUAAUGGGUCAGCGACUUAUAUUCUGUAGCAAGGUUAACCGUAUAGGGGAGCCGGAGGGAAACCGAGUCUUAAUUGGGCGUUAAGUUGCAGGGUAUAGACCCGAAACCCGGUGAUCUAGCCAUGGGCAGGUUGAAGGUUGGGUAACACUAACUGGAGGACCGAACCGACUAAUGUUGAAAAAUUAGCGGAUGACCUGUGGCUGGGGGUGAAAGGCCAAUCAAACCGGGAGAUAGCUGGUUCUCCCCGAAAGCUAUUUAGGUAGCGCCUCGUGAAUUCAUCUCCGGGGGUAGAGCACUGUUUCGGCUAGGGGGCCAUCCCGGCUUACCAACCCGAUGCAAACUGCGAAUACCGGAGAAUGUUAUCACGGGAGACACACGGCGGGUGCUAACGUCCGUCGUGAAGAGGGAAACAACCCAGACCGCCAGCUAAGGUCCCAAAGUCAUGGUUAAGUGGGAAACGAUGUGGGAAGGCCCAGACAGCCAGGAUGUUGGCUUAGAAGCAGCCAUCAUUUAAAGAAAGCGUAAUAGCUCACUGGUCGAGUCGGCCUGCGCGGAAGAUGUAACGGGGCUAAACCAUGCACCGAAGCUGCGGCAGCGAACGUAUCACCCAAGACAACUUUACGGAGUUGACGAUUGACGGAGCGAAGCGACGUCAAAGCGUUCAUUAAAGUCGAGUUGGCUUAGGGAUACGUUCGUUGGGUAGGGGAGCGUUCUGUAAGCCUGUGAAGGUGUGUCGUGAGGC
rnacentral:rRNA from 1 species